rnacentral:rRNA from 1 species
UUAUUUCACGUGUAGGGGUAAAAUCCGUAGAGAUGUGAAGGAACCCCUUUUUUUUCUGGCUAGGCAGAAGGCGCCUGCCUGGAUGAUUAUUGACGCUGAGGCGCGAAAGCGUGGGGAGCAAACAGGAUUAGAUACCCUGGUAGUCCACGCCGUAAACGAUGAGCACUAGUUAUUGGAGGUAUUGACUCCUUCAGUGACGCAGCUAACGCAUUAAGUGCUCCGCCUGGGAAGUACGGUCGCAAGACUAAAACUCAAACAAAUUGACGGGGGCCCGCACAAGCGGUGGAUUAUGUGGUUUAAUUCGAAGCAACGCGCAGAACCUUACCUAGGCUUGAACUCCUACGAAUCCGGGGUAAUGCCUGGAGUGUCCGCAAGGAAAUGUAGUGAGAGGUGCUGCAUGGCUGUCGUCAGCUCGUGUUGUGAAAUGUUGGGUUAAGUCUCGCAACGAGCGCAACCCCUAUCGUCUGUUGCCAGCAUUAAGUUGGGCACUCUGACGAGACUGCCUGGGUUAACCAGGAGGAAGGUAGGGAUGACGUCAAGUCCUCAUGGCCCUUAUGUCUAGGGCUACACACGUAAUACAAUGGCGCGUACAGAGGGAAGCGAACUCGCGAGGGGGAGCAAAUCUCAAAAAGCGCGUCUCAGUCCGGAUUGGAGUCUGCAACUCGACUCCAUGAAGUUGGAAUCGCUAGUAAUCGGAGAUCAGCACGCUCCGGUGAAUACGUUCCCGGGCCUUAUUACUAUUUCAUUUUAAAACGGCCCGUCACACCAUGGGAGUUGUUUUCAUUUUAAGACGUGACUAA